rnacentral:rRNA from 1 species
UACGAAGGGGGCUAGCGUUGCUCGGAAUCAUUGGGCGUAAAGAGCUCGUAGGCGGUUUGUCGCGUCUGCCGUGAAAGUCCGGGGCUCAACUCCGGAUCUGCGGUGGGUACGGGCAGACUAGAGUGAUGUAGGGGAGACUGGAAUUCCUGGUGUAGCGGUGAAAUGCGUAGAUAUUCGGAAGAACACCAGUGGCGAAGGCGACUUACUGGACGACUGUUGACGCUGAGGUGCGAAAGCGUGGGGAGCAAACAGG